GUUACACUGUACUUUUUUUUAAUUAUACUAAAAAUGAUGAUAUAAACUCUACAUCUAAUAUUGACGCAAAAUAUUUAACAUGUCAAUAUGAGAAUGAUAUGAACAACUGUUCUGUAACAGAUAAAGAAGAAUUUUCAAAUAUUAUUAUAUAUAAAAACAAAAAAAAUGAAUUUUUUGACAGCAUACAUAUGCUAUCAAAUAUAUACACUACAUAUAUUAAUAUCUAUAACCCAAAUUUCGAAUCAGGUUACUUUGCAUACUUUAUAUAUUAUUAUUACGACAAUGACCUUGAAGAAUAUAUACUCACUGUAAAAAUCGUUAUAUGUACAAGUAGAACCAAAAAUAUAAAAUGUGAAAUGUUAAACCCUCUUCCACUCUAUAAAGGGAUAUAUCCAAAUGUGUGUGAUUAUCUUAAAAAAAUGCACAUCCCCAUACAAAAUGUUAAAUCUUCAUCUGACUGUACUUUUAAUAUAUAUUCUCGGGGUACACGAAUUUUACAUGAUGAUAAAUAUAAUUUGUAUAGGUUAGGACAUUUUCAAUAUUUUUAUACCUAUUUCAACAAAUUAUCGAUAUCACCUAUUUUAAACAAUUUCUGUACAGCAAUAAAAAUAAAUGCGAAUGAAUGUUUAGAUAUGUUUUUCCAUAUAAACCAGGAUGUAAAAAAAAAACAUGAAGAAGCUAAAGAUUUUCUAAAAACAUGUAUGGGAUCUUAUUAUAAGGAAGCAGGACAACCAUCUAAAACUGAUUUUGGAAUCAUAAAACAAAAAAGAGAAAUUAGCGCAAAAAAUAAAGCGACAAAUCGUGGAGAUUUACUAAUACAACUUGAAAAAAGUGUAGAUGAUCGUGAUCAAACACUUUGUACCAAAACUUACGAAAUAUUAGCAUCCUUUGAUUCAGAUAAUUCUAUUAAAUUAGAAUCCAAUUCUAAACAAAGUAUCGACAAUUCAGAUGUUAUUCCUACAAGUCCCACCAUAUUAAUACCGAGUCAUCAAAGAAAUGACAUUAAAUCAGAACCCAUCAAUCAAGGAAUUGCUAUUAAAUCAGCAUCCAGCUUUAAAGAAAAAGACUCUAAAUCAGGACCCAACUCUCAGAGAAAUACCAUUAUAUUAGCACCUAGCCCUCAAGAAAAUGACACUGAAUUAGAAUCCAGUGCUACAAUUUCUAAUUUAAUUUAUGCUGUAUUUUUAUUAAUACUUACAAUUUAUAUGUUUUAAUAAUUAUAUUUAAGUUAUAAUUUUUAAAAUACCAUAAUAGUUUGUCUCAUUUGUGCAUACAUAUAAUAUUAUGUAUAUACAUUUUUAUUCCGCUUAAAAAAAAAUGAUAAUACAAAGUUUAUUAAAUUCAUUACAAAAUUUAAUAUCACUAUUUAUUAUUUUUUUCUUUUUUAUCUAUUAUAUUUGUUUUUUUUUGAGGCGGGGCUUGUUGUAUUGCAUUAAACUAAAGUGGUAAUGAAAAUGAAUGAUUGUUUAAAGAUAGCUAACCAAAUCGUCAAAAAAUAAUUUUUUCGAUUGGUGCUUCUUACAAAAACGCUGUUAAUGUAUA
rnacentral:lncRNA from 1 species